rfam:Orchesella cincta Ocin01_Sc0706, whole genome shotgun sequence.
UGGACUAAGUGGAGAAGUGGUCUUGUCACUUUGAAUUAAAGUGAGAUUCAACUUCUCCAACUUAUUUCA